CAUUUGAAAAUAUAUAUUUUUUCCUCCAGAUCCGAGAACUGCACAGAAAUGGUGUGUCUGACGAACUGCAAAUGGAACAAUACUGGCAUUGUGGCUGCAACCUGCACUACAACCACCAAUGCCCCAACAACCACCGUCCACCACCACAACCCUCACUGCCAUCGCCACACACACCACCCAUCAUCAACCUCAACCAGCAAACCAUCCCACCCCAGCCAAGCACGAUAAGAGUAAGGAACACCACUAAUGAUAACGAAUCGGUACAUUCAGGGGGAUGAUGACGGUGACGGCAGAGCAUCCAGGACAUCCAGGACAGGUCUUACUGCUAGACCACCACACCAUCUCCUGCAGUAGUCAUCCAGGACAGGUCUUACUGCAAGACCACGUCGACUAUGUAAGACCACCACACCAUCUCCUGAAGUAGUCAUCCAGGACAGGUCUUACUGCAAGACCACGUCGACUAUGUAAGACCACCACACCAUCUCCUGAAGUAGUCAUCCAGGACAGGUCUUACUGCAAGACCAUGUCGACAGCCUAAGACCGCUGCACCAUCUCAAGAAGUUAAGAUCAAAACAUUACAGUCAUCCUUGAUAAGAGUUCAUAAUUUUCUCUAAUGAUUAUUUUUAUUUAAGCAACAGCUGAAAAAUAUAUAAUUAUAAUGUUUAGAAUUAAUUAGUUCACCCACAAUCAAUUUACAACAAAGAAGAAAAUACGGCCUAUUAUGAAAAAUAUUAAACAAAGAUUAAAUUAAAAUUUACUUCAUUAAUUGUGGUAACUUAAGAGAUAGGAAAUAUAACUUAGAUAUAUUAAUAAAAGAUCUAAAUUUACCAGUUUAAAUUUAAUGGAUUAAAUGUCACUGUUUUUGUAUUAAAACGAUUAUUUUAUGUGAAAAAGUUAACAAUAAAAUAAAAUAUUGCUAAAGGCUAUUACAAAUUAUUUAUUACGUAAUAUGAUCAUUUUCUAAUAGAAAACAAAUCUCAUAAGCUUUAUAGCUUUCCAGAAAACACAUUAGACAAACAUGUGCAUAAGAUGAUUCGCCUACUUACAGAAGACAGUAGCACCCAGUGAUAUCAACAUAUGCAAGACACCUGUAAUAUGUGACAAUAUAAUGAGAAAGAUGUGUAAGCGAUAAACAAUUGUAAACCAUAAAAUGACAAAAUAUCCAAGAUGUCAACAUAGGAUAGGCUAAGUGCAUUAGCAUAUGAAAAAGACCAUACACUCGCUGUUAAAAUAUGCAAAUUGUCGAAUGUAUAUUAGGCAUCAACAUGUGAACUCUGUUAGAUGAAUACCGUCAUCUUUUGUGCAGUAAAUACAUCUGAAAGAAACCAACAAUGCAAGAAUGAGCAGAUGCAAGGAACCAACAAAUGCAAGAAUCAACAGCUUCAAGAAACCAAUAACAUUGGCCUUGCUGGAAAACUAAUUGGAAUAAAAUUAAGAUCUUAAA